GCGGCUGUAGACCAUGGUGGUCGCCCUCCUACGAUUGCCGACAGGGAUUGAAUGUAACGAGGGAAGUGGGGGUUCGAUUCCUCCCAGCCGCA